CACGUAGGGGGCAAGCGUUGUCCGGAUUUAUUGGGCGUAAAGAGCUCGUAGGUGGUUCGGUAAGUCGGGUGUGAAAACUCUGGGCUCAACUCAGAGACGCCACCCGAUACUGCUGUGACUUGAGUCUGGUAGGGGAGUGUGGAAUUCCCAGUGUAGCGGUGAAAUGCGCAGAUAUUGGGAGGAACACCAGUGGCGAAGGCGGCACUCUGGGCCAGUACUGACACUGAGGAGCGAAAGCGUGGGGAGCAAACAGG
rnacentral:rRNA from 1 species